CCAGGACUAACCCAUGUCACUGUUUUCUACCAGAAACACAAGACCCAAUAUAUAUACAUCCGUCAAUCCCAUUCUGCACUCGCGAUUACCCUCUUUAGUCAAGGCCCCUGUGAUGGUCAGGGCGCAGGGGGAGAUGGUCAGGGCGUAGGGCUGCAGAUGGAGAAACAGUGGUAUACUUCACAGAUAUGAUCCCCAGCACCCACAGACGGCAGGAGGCUGUGGUCUCUCAAGUCAUUUCAGCACUGGCCAGCAUGUUUAUUGAAAAGCUUUGGUGUAUUUAGUGUGUCCAACCACUUACAUGUACAGUUAUAAUGGGGUUAUAUUGAUGUCGUUGUAGUUUUUUUGUUCGUUCUUUUAAAAGGAAUAUGGCUAGGGAGCCCUUAUUCUGAAAGGCAUGCAACUUUGGGCUUUGUGAGUUUGCAUGGUGAUUUCCGCUCUCGAUCAUGUGCGCACUUUACACUCUGAAGAAAACACUGUCUUAUCACCUUCACUGUUUUAGUUAUCGAUGGGUUAUUUCUAUUAUCCUGUGUAGGGGUCAAGGGUCAAGGGGUUAUAUAGGUAGCUGCCGUUCCUGAUGUCUCUUCACAUACACCAGAGUUAGUGUGGUUCAUCCAGAGGGUCCAUAUCUUGUGAGAGUGUCCGGUAACCCCCUGGUGACCUCUGGGUGCUGUUUAGGUUUUUGGUGCAACAUGUCCCUCCUCCCCUCCUACCCACGCUCCAGACCACCGCUAGUCAUUCCCCCCCCCCCCCCCCACCACCACCACUCUGCUUGUUGUGCUUCUAUGGUCGACGUGCGUCUGUCCUUGUGAGGAAACUUUCUUAUCGUCUUUAAAGCCGCGACUGCAACUUGUGAGCUCCCGGGCCCCUGUCCGCAUGCCCCUCCCACCCUGGUAAAGAUUGGUGCGUACGUACCGUGUGUCCGUGUGUCUGUGAGCAUGAGCGUUUGUCUGUGUACAGUAUGUGUGCGUGGGUGUGCACGCCUGCAGCCGACGCGGGCGUGUGUGUGUGUGGCAUCACACUCCACACACACGACAAAGCUGAGGGCUGUUUUGUGACAGCAGGUCCAUGGGUCAUAGCCAUUGGGUUUCAGUUCGAUGUAGAUUACCAGAACAAAAGAAGAAUACUUAUUUAUAUUUGUUGAAUUAAAUUCAAACCAAAGCAAUUUGCCCCGUGUGUUCACAGAGUCAGCCCAGAGCACAAAGGGAGAAAUGGUAUCACAGUACUUUAGUUGUAUCAAAGUUAUUAUGUUAUCCAAGUCUCUGCCCCCCACCCAUCCUAAUGCAUGUCGGUCUGUCAACCAAUAGUACUUAUUGAAUAGACUUUACAUGUUGUCCUUUUAAAGUCAUCUCUAUCUAGGAAGUAGUUUUAGUUUGUGGUAGGAAUAGUGAAAAGAGAAUUGCGUCCUAUGGAGACGUUAUUAUUUAUUUUAUUUAUUUGUUAUACAUUUUCAUGUGUCAUAUUCGUAUCGCCAUGUCAACUGGUUUAAUGAUGCGGAUUAAAACGUAGAAGUUGACGCACCCUGUAGUUUCCACACUCGGUUGCUCUGCUUUCUCUCUGCUGCCACACCUGGGGGGAAGACGACGGCCAUGUUCAACUAUCUCUCUGUUCAUCUGGCUACUUAUCGAUUCACACCAGAAGCCGUGUCUCUCCCCGAAACGCCCGCCCUCGUGAACAGAGAGGGAAUCGGCCCGGACGAGCCCGAAGCGUGGGCCUCUCCUCCUCUCUCUGUUCAGAAAGCGUGGGACGUUUUGAGGUGUGGAGGUGACGUCAGCGGUGUCCUGACCCCAGCAUUGAGAAAGCACCCUGUGGCUGUGGGUAGAAGGACUGUGAUGGUCGCACAGGCGACAGCCGGAUAAACGUGUCUGUAAGGCUCUGAAACCAUCAAGCUAGUGUCAGGAGACAGCCUAGUCAGAUGGUGGGAUUAACGUCUUCUGGAGAGAGUUUGAACUUGACUGUGAACUGAUGUCAUCCCAGUAGCUGUCUAUGACUGCACUCCACAACUUUUCUGAUGAUAGUGUUGAUCUCGACCAGGCAGGCGUCCCAACGCCUGCUUUGGUAUGAAUAGAAGAUUCCAGACCAUUUUCUGAUUGAUGUGUCUUGGAUAGCAGUAGAUCUGUCUUCAUUGCGACCUUCUCACGUCAAUCUUCAAACUGUUCUCACAGAAGAGGUUUACCUUCGAUUAAAAACGAUUACAAUAACAACAACCACAACAUGCCAGACCCUCUUUGAUGAGGCUCGUUUGUUUGUGUGGCUCAUAAUAGUGCCGCUGUUAAUAGCCACAAUCAAACAUUUUAUUUUUUAUUUAGCUUCAUGUUAGCAUUUGGAUGCACCCUUUCCUAGUUUCACCACAGUAUUGCUUUUAUCAGUGUUCUAACGGGGCGGGGGGCCGGGCGGGGGGGGGGGGCAGGUGCCGUGAAGAGAGAAUUCAGAGGUGACCUUCAUCGAGUCGGUUACAAUAUUAAGAUGAAUUAAAAGUGAAUAGAUAACAAAUAUAUUAUUAUAAUGAAAAGUAACCUUGCAACCUGAGGGGAGACAGAAUGGCAAAGGAAUCAAACAUUCAGAACGGGAGUCAUUAUAAUAGCAAUGAUUUAAUGAAAUAAUGAAGUUAUGUUAACAUAAUAAUAGUACUAAUAUUGAAUAUCGAAUGCUCGCAAUUUUGUCAAACUGAACUGGAUCUUUGUGUCAUGUAAUUAUUGUAAAUACUUCAAAGAGAGAAAAAAUGACUUGCAUGUCCAUGUAUAAAUCUACUGAGAUACUUGUUCCUGUCAAAGUUGUGUAGUGGUUCGAUCUCUGUCCUUUUCCCCAUAGACUGAUGUUCUGUCCAUCCAUAUCCUUUCAGUUCAUACGUGUUAUAUGGAGUGUUUGGGCAGUAGACAGAAUAGGAUUGCGUGACCAACUGUGUGCCAGUCUAAACCUUCUACACCAGUUUUAUUCGGUUCAGAGGUUCCUCUGAUGAAAAGUGCUUCCCUCCAUCUCUAGACAGACACAGUACCCGCUAAUCGCUAACCGCUCCUUCUCGCUCGCCUCCGUCAGUGUGCCGCGCAAAGGCCCGACCCUGAACACUAGCUCUCUCUCUGUGUCUCCACAUAUUAGACAACCCCAGACCAGACCACCUGGAACAGCUCUCUGUUUCCACACGGUAGACCAUCUUUAGUCACAAACCAGCCCCGUCCUUAAGGGCGGGACUCUUACCAUCAAGUGGCCAGUGUGGGACGUAGACUCACCCGAUUGGACGUUUCGUCAGUUGGGACUCAGCCUCUUUUCCCUUGGUCUCCAAGCUUCCAGCUUCUCCAGUAGAUGCGAAUAGACGGAUCAUGAAUAAGCAAUAUGGCAAUUCCUCCACCUAUAGAUUAAGAGAAGGCAUAGGGGAGGAAUGCCUAUGAUUGCCUGUUUAUCUAUUCAUGUCUACUCAAGGUGAUCAAAGGAUAUAGGGGCUGAUAUAGGAUUGUUCACCUCUCCUAAGUAUGCUUGUCUUUAAUUAUUUCUCAUGACAGUUCAAGUAUACCUCUAUUUGUAAGUAUUAACAUCUUACCAGGUGUCGUAGUCUCCGUGUGGGAGCACAGGAGGUGGAUAAUGUCUGUGGUCAAAAGACGACAUUUAUUUUGUUACCCACCUUCUCUUUGACCGGGAAAGGAUCGUCCCAAACAUUAGACUACAGACCUUCUGUAUUGUGUUACCAUCCUCCAAGGCUAGGCUGUGGCUGAUUAGAGGAAACCCACCUAUAUGUGCAAUACAAAGAAAAAGGGCUUUCUUUAAAAUGCAGAAGUGAGACGAUAUCAUAUCAGACCUCAACCACCACUCGCUAAUGGUGGCAGAUUCUAGCCACAGUCAAAGUGAAUAUAGAAGUUAGUGACUGUGACAGGGACAGCGACACAGCCAGGUGAAAACGACCUCCAUCUUGUUACGUUUGUCAGCUAGAGGGGGUUGUCUGAGUUAAAAAAAGGACAGAGAGAGAGAGAUUGAAAAUAAAAAAGGGGACAGUUGGAUCGUUCGUUAGCUACAACUUUGACUGGAAAUGCAACUUGUGUCCCGUUUUUUUUGUGUGUGUGUAUGUGUGCGUACCGUAAUGUAAAAAACUAUCUGUCCCUCUCUCUCCCUCUCUCGUACUGCUGUUUGCUGUUCUGUUUAGUUAGUGUGAUGUGCCAGUAUUUCCCUUCCCCCUCCCCAUCUCCUCUCCCCUCCUCUCGCUCUCUCCCCUUUUCUCCAUGGAUCUUUAAGAUGACAACUCUAUGCAGAUGCUGUCUUUUAUAAGUGUGUCAAAUUUUAAUUUAAAAUAAAAACAAACAAAAAAAACCCCGACAGACAUAUUGAAAUGAUAACAAAAAAUGAAUAAAGAAAAGGAUUGUUCAGUGUAA